ACCAGUGUUGUAUCACGGACUGCCACAAUAGGCUUCCUAGAAUUACCUUGAAACAUUUGACAUUUUUAAGAGUUAUGUUUGAUGUGAACGUGUUCUUGGAGUUUAUUUGUUUUCGGAUUAAGUUGGGGAAGAAACCUUAGGCAAUAAAAACCAAUUUUGCGGUUUGAAAGCGACGCUUUCUACAACGUCAGUGCUGUUAGCAUGUUAGCUUUUUGACUUAUGGAGAAUAAAAAGGAGAAAACGUUUAAGUUUGUCGUGGUCGGAGGUGGCAUUGCGGGCGUAACAUGCGUGGAGCAGCUGUCAUCUCAGUUUCCAUCAGAGGCCGUGGCUCUUAUUACAGCAGGUCCCCACAUAAAGGCGGUGACCAACUAUAAACGGGUGUCCAGCAGACUGGAGGAGUUCGAUGUGGAGGAAAAGCCCUCCAGUGUUUUAAAGGAGAAAUUUCCCAACCUGACCAUCAUUCAUUCUGCUGUAAAAUCCCUCCGCACACACACACAUUGUUUGGAAACCACAGACGGUGGAGUGUUUGGUUACGAGAAGCUCUGUAUCUGCAGCGGUGCCCGUCCGAAACUCCUGGCCCAGGAGAACUCACACGUGCUCGGGAUCCGGGACACAGACAGCGCACAGGAGUUUCAGAAGCGGUUAUCCAAAGCUAAGAGAAUCGUCGUCGUCGGAAACGGAGGAAUCGCGUUGGAGUUGGUGUAUGAGGUGAGGCGCUGUGAGGUGAUCUGGGCUGUGAAGGACAAAGCCAUUGGAAACACCUUCUUUGACGCGGGAGCGGCGCAGUUCCUCAUCCCGUCGCUGGAGGCCGACAAAGAGCCGGCGGCAACGCCGUGCAAAAGGCAGCGCUUCACCACGGAGGAACCGGAUGCUGCGCACACCUUCACAGCCGAUGAAUAUUCCCGCGGGCAGAACCCCGGUCCCGUCGAGUCCGGCAGCGCUCUCGGCCCGGACUGGCAUCGAGGAAUCGAGCUGCGAGGAGCGGAGCAGGUGUCCCGCAGAGUUUCAGUGGCGUACCAGUGUGAAGUGGAACACAUCUUCACCUCAGAGGAGUUCCUCGUCUCCUCACAGCAAAGGCCAAAACCUGACACUGCAGGAUCCUGGCCGGUUUACGUCCAGCUGACCAAUGGCGAGACGUUUGGCUGCGACUUCGUGGUCAGCGCCACCGGGGUCGUCCCAAACACAGAGCCAUUUCUCCACGGCAACAACUUCUCAUUGGCAGACGAUGGCGGCCUUCAAGUAGACAACCACAUGAUGACAUCAGAGACGGAUGUGUACGCAGCAGGUGAUGUGUGCAGUGCAUGCUGGGAGCACAGCACACUUUGGCAGCAGAUGCGGCUCUGGACGCAGGCCCGUCAGAUGGGCUGGCACGCGGGCCGCUGCAUGGCGGCUGACGUCCUCUCCGAGCCGAUCGAUCUUGACUUUUGCUUCGAACUCUUCUCGCACGUCACCAAAUUCUUCAACUACAAGGUGGUCCUGCUGGGGAAGUUUAACGCACAGGGGCUGGGGUCCGACCACGAGCUGCUGGUUCGCUGCACCAAAGGCCGGGAGUACGUCAAGGUGGUCCUCAGCGGGGGCAGAAUGGUGGGGGCCGUGCUGAUCGGAGAAACCGAUUUAGAGGAGACGUUCGAAAACCUGAUCCUCAACCAGAUGGACCUGACGGCGUACGGAGAGGAGCUGCUCAACCCGGACAUCGACAUCGAGGACUACUUCGACUAACUGCUGUCUCCAAAGUCUGGAUAACCAUGAAGAAAGAGACAUUUAUUUUAUUAGUAAGUAGGUAAAAUGUUAAUGUUUUCAGGUCAGUAGGUCAAUUAAAUCCAUUACAAUUUAGUAAAAAACUAAAAGAAAGGCAAUAAUAUUGAAAACUUUUAAAUUAGAUGUUUUUGGGGGUUUUUAACCGAAGUGCUUGAUGACUGAGCCAAAAGUGGUUUUAAAAUGCAAACUCCUUACUUGAACUCAGACUACAUUUUUAUUGUUUUCCUUUGUUGAUUUACUUGAACUCUUGCGUAACAUGACCUUGUGUUUACCACAUCGGUGUCUUUGCAGCAGGAAGUCACUAACAGUGAGAGAGGUGUCUCCGCUGGCUGACCUGGGCUGGCAUAGUAACAAGGCUUUAUGUCUUCUGGGAAUUAUGGAAAAUUACUCAUACAUAUAAAUAGAAAAAAAAACAAAAAACAAGAGAAUAAUCUCAGGGCAUCUUUCCAGGUUGGAAAUAAAAUACCUUUUUGUGUGCAUGUGUGUGAGUGUGUGUGAAGAGAGCAACCUGUUAACUGUCAAGAGGGAGAGUCAACAGAGGCACGCGUUUGAAGAUCCAAUUAAAAUCCCCGUUCAUAUGGAGACGCUGGAUUAGAGCUGGUUUGGAGAGAACUCAAGAAGCAACCUAUUCAUUAUGAAGGUUGCUAAGUAACGAGGCAAUCAGGCCUGGCAUGCUGUGGAAGAAGAGAGAGGGUCAGCGAGUUUUAUCGCUGUCAGGGGAAUACAGCAGGGUUUUUAGUCUCCGUGCAGCAUUUUUCUUAAUUCAUUUUUGUUUGUUUUUUUUUUAGAUAUUUUGAAAGAACUCAUCAAUUUUCUAAACGAAUCCACCUGGAACCUGCAAGAUGGAGCCAUUUCGUCCCUCCGUCCAGAAGGAGAGACGAAACGGCUCAUUGCACAAUCUGCAAAUAUUUAACAUUUUUCAGUCUUUUUCUGAGAAGCUUUCUCAUUAAUCAAUGACCAGAAAAAGGUUGAGUUAAAGAGUGCAAACGUUUUCUGGAAGCCACAGUAGCUUCAGAGCUGAUGUGUAAUUCAUUCUGAUCCUAUUGGCUGAUAUGUGGGCGGAUAACCUGCUACUGCUCCUGACUCCAGAAGGUCCCUCGUGCACAAUUAAGACUUUAUGUUCUUUUUUUUUUUAUUCAACGGUUGUUUCAAGAGCCCUCUUUUGUUAGAUAAAACAAGUAACUGUGUCAUUUUAAUCAAGUCCUCUGAAAGAGGAAGAAAAAGGAGAAAUAUUUGUGUUUCUUUCUCAGAAUUUUGACUGCAGAUGAGCUCCUGGGAGCAACCAGCUUCAAGGACAGAGAUUGGCCCAAAUUCUGUUCCGGAAAGUCCUCUAAGACGCUAACACUGACACAAAUGCAAAUCUAAGAUACUAAUUUCUACCUGGUAGAAAUUGUGAAUGCAGUGGACUAUUCAUAAGAAAAAAGUAUUUAUUAUCAUUCUCUGCAUUUUGUACUUUUUUUCUGAUGGUGUAGUUCAUACAUUUUCAAUAAAAUGCAUUGAAGUUUGUGAUUGGAAAGUAGGAAAAGCAAGGUUUCCUCCAUUACCUUGACUCAAUGUCUUUGUCGGCACAGAUUCUGUGUUUUGAAAUCCAAAACGUUUGGUUAAUGUAGUACUACAUCUGACUAUCACAAUAUCAUACAACAAUAAAGAAAAUGCAUCCAUUCAUUCGUGAUUAAAGUUGAUCACAUUUGAAAGCGUCUCACAAGGAAAAGAUUAUAUGUAAAAUUAUCAGUGUGCCUGAAGCAACUCGUUUGGUGUAUUUUUUUUUUAUUCUGAAUGGGGGGCUGAUUUAUCAAUUUAUGUAGUUAAUACCAUUAAUAAUGUUUGGCCUUCAUCUCCAGAGCUUGUGGGCAUUGGGAGCCCUCAUGAACAAAAAAACAAAAAAAACAAAUAGUUUUUCUCCGUUGGAAAAGUAAUAGGAAAUAAGGCUGAUUUUUAGGGUUUGAUUGGAUGUAAGAGUUUUUAUCAAGGUUCUAUCAAUACAGUUCAGAUUGCUUUUAUGAGUUAUUCAUUUAAGGAAUCGUAUUUAAAUUGUACAUUUUGAGUGUCUAUUUCUGACUGAUGUCCUUUGUAUAUUUGCCCUGCAGUUAGUUCUUGGUUCUUGAAGGUUACGUAAUAGCGUAUAUAUUUUUUAAAUUAUUAAUAGUAUUGUUUAUGUUGUUAAUGCGACUGAAAUUUUACGUUAAAUGCCUUAAAUAAAUAUAU